GGUUGUGGCUCAGUGGUAGAGUGCUUGCCUAGCAUGUGUCAAGCACUGGGUUUGAUUCUCAGCACCA
rnacentral:tRNA from 1 species